rnacentral:rRNA from 1 species
AUUGAACGCUGGCGGCAUGCCUUACACAUGCAAGUCGAACGGCAGCACGGGUGCUUGCACCUGGUGGCGAGUGGCGAACGGGUGAGUAAUACAUCGGAACAUGUCCUGUAGUGGGGGAUAGCCCGGCGAAAGCCGGAUUAAUACCGCAUACGAACUACGGAUGAAAGCGGGGGACCUUCGGGCCUCGCGCUAUAGGGUUGGCCGAUGGCUGAUUAGCUAGUUGGUGGGGUAAAGGCCUACCAAGGCGACGAUCAGUAGCUGGUCUGAGAGGACGACCAGCCACACUGGGACUGAGACACGGCCCAGACUCCUACGGGAGGCAGCAGUGGGGAAUUUUGGACAAUGGGUGAAGGCCUGAUCCAGCAAUGCCGCGUGUGUGAAGAAGGCCUUCGGGUUGUAAAGCACUUUUGUCCGGAAAGAAAUCCUUGGCCCUAAUACGGUCGCGGGAUGACGGUACCGGAAGAAUAAGCACCGGCUAACUACGUG